UACGUAGGGGGCAAGCGUUGUCCGGAUUUAUUGGGCGUAAAGAGCGUGUAGGCGGCCAGGUAGGUCAGCUGUGAAAACUCGAGGCUUAACCUCGAGACGCCGGCUGAAACCCUCUGGCUAGAGUCCGGAAGAGGAGAGCGGAAUUCCUGGUGUAGCGGUGAAAUGCGUAGAUAUCUGGAGGAACACCGGUGGCGAAGGCGGCAUCCUGGACCAACACUGACGCUGAGGAGCGAAAGCCAGGGGAGCAAACGGG
rnacentral:rRNA from 1 species